CUCUUAUAGCCCCACAACCCCCCCUAGGCGCCGUGUGCUUGGUUUUAGGUUGGGGCGACCGCGGAGUACAAUAAAACCUCCACAAUGAAUGGGAACACCCCCUUAUCUGAGGGCCACACCCCCUAAGAAUUAGAACACUAACAUAAAAUGAUCCAUUACUUGAUCAAUGAACCAAGUUACCCUGGGGAUAACAGCGCAAUCCAUUUCAAGAGCCCCUAUCGACAAAUGGGUUUACGACCUCGAUGUUGGAUCAGGGUACCCCAGUGGUGCAGCAGCUACUAACGGUUCGUUUGUUCAACGAUUAA
rnacentral:rRNA from 1 species